CUUUUUCCUGCCACUGUUCCCACCUUCCCUACAAAAUUCCCCACGUUUGCUCCACGGUGAGAAAUGGAUUGUUUAGGAAAACAACUUUGCUGUGUUUCUGUACCCAGGGCAGGAAAUGAAGAGUGAAAUCCCCUCUUUUCUCCUCAGCCUCCUGAAGGAGGUGAACGAUGAGCUCCAAAUUCAUGUGCUAGCAGCUGGGCUGGGACAGAGCCCUACACAAACACCUCAUUUAUUCUCCCUAUCACUGAAGGAGAAAGACUCAGCAUCCAAAUCACCUGAAUUUGGUGCUGACCAGCUCUAAUUCCACUUUUCCAGACCUUGAUUAUGAGGAGUUUCUCUAGGAAAAGUAAAAUUUUGGCCAUUUCCUUCAUUAUCCGUACAAUAAUUCACAAUGCAUCAACAGGGAUUCAUUUUGCUUUGGAAAAUAUUAAAAUAAAGACGAGAAAUGCAGUGUUUUAUCCACUGGUAUUGCAGUGUUACCUCUUGGACAAAUAAAAAAAGCAAAUAGAGAUGAAUUAAUCGAAUUAAUUCUGUUUUUGCAGCAGGAAUUACUGCUCAGGAAGGAGAGUUGAGAGCAGUGGACCCUGCAGCCCUUUCUCCCAGGGAGUUUGUGGUGUUCCAGUACGGCCUCUCCAUCCUAAAAUUCCUCACGUUUCACAUUCAAGCUCCAGGAAUCACCCUGGCUGUUGCCUCCAGCCUCCCCCAGAGCCAUGCCCCAGGCAAUGCCUUCAGGAAUUCUUUCUUUUAUCAGAAUUCCAAGAAGAAACUCUUCAUCCUGAGGGAUUGCCUGGGCUCUGGGGGAGGUUUCCUGCUGGUCCUGGUGCACUGCUUGGCUCACAUCACUGCUGGGGACCUCAGCCACGACACCAACCCCCUCUUCCUGAGCCUUUUCCACCAGGCUCUGAAGGCCUGUCUCAGUGAGAUGUUCUCCCUCAGGCUGCAGCUCUCAGCAGCUCCCCAGGGGGAUAAAUCCCAGGGGAUAAAGCAGAUGCUGCUCAAGGAGGAGCCAUUCUCCACAGAGGAAAUAAACCUCAUCUCCCAACUUUUUGAAGUGAGAGUGAAAAGUCAAACAGACAUGGAAGCCUUUGAGAAGGUAACAAGAACAAAAUAGAACCAGACCUGGCUGAAAUUAUCCACUAUCCCUAAUUUUUUUUAGUU
rnacentral:lncRNA from 1 species